rnacentral:lncRNA from 1 species
GGCCUCCAUCUUGAAAACGGAAAAUAAAAACAGCAGACCUAUGAAGGUCGAAGGGGAAGAAAAGCUGUAUCGAUUGUUGAGAUCUGGCGACUUGUUUAAAUUUCAUCAGCCUCACUUCUAUGAACUCUCAGGACAAACUGCAACAGAGUCACAUCGAGUUGAGACUUCUCCAAGGGCCAUGGGGUUGACAUCUGUAUUCUCAGGCCUCACGUGUACCAGCUCUCUGCUCUCCUUUGCCUUGGGACGUUCCAUCCCUGGAAGUUUCCCUGCCCACAUCUUUGUAGAGAGUCCAUUCUCCAAGCUUCAGUGUGUCAUCUGUGAGGACCGUGACCCACCUGGUACAUCGCCUCAGGGCAUUCAUUUCAGGCUCCUUCUAAAUGGCCAAGGUAAACCUCAGGUUCUCCUCCUGCCUUUUGCUAAGUAUAUGUCUUGAUGACAAGCCUUCUGCUGAUGAGCUGUGUUUCUGGACCGAUCAUGGUAGAAGUCAAUUAACGUGUCCCUCACUUGGGGUUUCUCAAGGCUGCACUGAUGAGGAAACUGAAACAGAAAAUCCAGAGUAAAUUCCACCAGGCCACACAGCAAGGUCUGAUAGAGCCAGGAGAGACUUUAUGAAAUCCAGACUCUCACACUAAUGCUCUAUCAGCUAGACCUCCAUGUGAGUCUCCCCAAUGUAGGUAGGAAGUGCUUU